GGGGAAUUUUGGACAAUGGGCGCAAGCCUGAUCCAGCAAUGCCGCGUGCAGGAUGAAGGCCUUCGGGUUGUAAACUGCUUUUGUACGGAGCGAAACGGCUCUCUCUAAUACAGGGGGCUAAUGACGGUACCGUAAGAAUAAGCACCGGCUAACUACGUGCCAGCAGCCGCGGUAAUACGUAGGGUGCAAGCGUUAAUCGGAAUUACUGGGCGUAAAGCGUGCGCAGGCGGUUUUGUAAGACAGAUGUGAAAUCCCCGGGCUCAACCUGGGACCUGCAUUUGUGACUGCAAAGCUAGAGUACGGCAGAGGGGGAUGGAAUUCCGCGUGUAGCAGUGAAAUGCGUAGAUAUGCGGAGGAACACCGAUGGCGAAGGCAAUCCCCUGGGCCUGUACUGACGCUCAUGCACGAAAGCGUGGGGAGCAAAC
rnacentral:rRNA from 1 species